rnacentral:rRNA from 1 species
GAUGAACGCUGGCGGCGUGCCUAAUACAUGCAAGUCGAGCGAACAGACGAGGAGCUUGCUCCUCUGACGUUAGUGGCGGACGGGUGAGUAACACGUGGAUAACCUACCUAUAAGACUGGGAUAACUUCGGGAAACCGGAGCUAAUACCGGAUAAUAUAUUGAACCGCAUGGUUCAAUAGUGAAAGACGGUUUUGCUGUCACUUAUAGAUGGAUCCGCGCCGCAUUAGCUAGUUGGUAAGGUAACGGCUUACCAAGGCAACGAUGCGUAGCCGACCUGAGAGGGUGAUCGGCCACACUGGAACUGAGACACGGUCCAGACUCCUACGGGAGGCAGCAGCAGGGAAUCUUCCGCAAUGGGCGAAAGCUUGACGGAGCAACGCCGCGUGAGUGAUGAAGGUCUUCGGAUCGUAAAACUCUGUUAUUAGGGAAGAACAAAUGUGUAAGUAACUAUGCACGUCUUGACGGUACCUAAUCAGAAAGCCACGGCUAACUACGUG